rnacentral:rRNA from 1 species
AUGAACGCUAGCUACAGGCUUAACACAUGCAAGUCGAGGGGCAGCAUUUUAGUUUGCUUGCAAACUGAAGAUGGCGACCGGCGCACGGGUGAGUAACACGUAUCCAACCUGCCGAUAACUCCGGAAUAGCCUUUCGAAAGAAAGAUUAAUACCGGAUAGUAUACGAAUAUCGCAUGAUAUUUUUAUUAAAGAAUUUCGGUUAUCGAUGGGGAUGCGUUCCAUUAGAUAGUAGGCGGGGUAACGGCCCACCUAGUCAACGAUGGAUAGGGGUUCUGAGAGGAAGGUCCCCCACAUUGGAACUGAGACACGGUCCAAACUCCUACGGGAGGCAGCAGUGAGGAAUAUUGGUCAAUGGGCGAGAGCCUGAACCAGCCAAGUAGCGUGAAGGAUGAAGGCUCUAUGGGUCGUAAACUUCUUUUAUAUGGGAAUAAAGUUUUCCACGUGUGGAAUUUUGUAUGUACCAUAUGAAUAAGGAUCGGCUAACUCCGUGCCAGCAGCCGCGGUAAUACGGAGGAUCCGAGCGUUAUCCGGAUUUAUUGGGUUUAAAGGGAGCGUAGGUGGAUUGUUAAGUCAGUUGUGAAAGUUUGCGGCUCAACCGUAAAAUUGCAGUUGAAACUGGGAGUCUUGAGUACAGUAGAGGUGGGCGGAAUUCGUGGUGUAGCGGUGAAAUGCUUAGAUAUCACGAAGAACUCCGAUUGCGAAGGCAGCUCACUAGACUGUCACUGACACUGAUGCUCGAAAGUGUGGGUAUCAAACAGGAUUAGAUACCCUGGUAGUCCACACAGUAAACGAUGAAUACUCGCUGUUUGCGAUAUACAGUAAGCGGCCAAGCGAAAGCAUUAAGUAUUCCACCUGGGGAGUACGCCGGCAACGGUGAAACUCAAAGGAAUUGACGGGGGCCCGCACAAGCGGAGGAACAUGUGGUUUAAUUCGAUGAUACGCGAGGAACCUUACCCGGGCUUAAAUUGCAACAGAAUAUAUUGGAAACAGUAUAGCCGUAAGGCUGUUGUGAAGGUGCUGCAUGGUUGUCGUCAGCUCGUGCCGUGAGGUGUCGGCUUAAGUGCCAUAACGAGCGCAACCCUUAUCUUUAGUUACUAACAGGUCAUGCUGAGGACUCUAGAGAGACUGCCGUCGUAAGAUGUGAGGAAGGUGGGGAUGACGUCAAAUCAGCACGGCCCUUACGUCCGGGGCUACACACGUGUUACAAUGGGGGGUACAGAAGGCGGCUACCUGGUGACAGGAUGCUAAUCCCAAAAACCUCUCUCAGUUCGGAUCGAAGUCUGCAACCCGACUUCGUGAAGCUGGAUUCGCUAGUAAUCGCGCAUCAGCCAUGGCGCGGUGAAUACGUUCCCGGGCCUUGUACACACCGCCCGUCAAGCCAUGAAAGCCGGGGGUACCUGAAGUACGUAACCGCAAGGAGCGUCCUAGGGUAAAACUGGUAAUUGGGGCU